rnacentral:rRNA from 2 species
AUGUCUAAGUAUAAGCAAUUGUACUGCGAAACUGCGAAUGGCUCAUUAAAUCAGUUAUCGUCUAUUUGAUAGUACCUUACUACUUGGAUAACCGUGGUAAUUCUAGAGCUAAUACAUGCUGAAAACCCCGACUUCGGAAGGGAUGUAUUUGUUAGAUUAAAAGCCAAUGCCCUCCGGGGCCCCCUGGUGAUUCAUGACAACUUCUCGAAUCGCACGGCCUUGCGCCGGCGAUGGUUCAUUCAAAUUUCUGCCCUAUCAACUUUCGACGGCUGGGUCUUGGCCAGCCGUGGUGACAACGGGUAACGGAGGGUUAGGGCUCGACCCCGGAGAAGGAGCCUGAGAAACGGCUACUACAUCCAAGGAAGGCAGCAGGCGCGCAAAUUACCCAAUCCCGACACGGGGAGGUAGUGACAAUAAAUACUGAUACAGGGCUCUUUUGGGUCUUGUAAUUGGAAUGAGUACAAUUUAAUUCCCUUAACGAGGAACAAUUGGAGGGCAAGUCUGGUGCCAGCAGCCGCGGUAAUUCCAGCUCCAAUAGCGUAUAUUAAAGUUGUUGCAGUUAAAAAGCUCGUAGUUGAACCUUGGGCCUGGCUGGCCGGUCCGCCUCACCGCGUGCACUGGUCCGGCCGGGCCUUUCCCUCUGGGGAGCCGCAUGCCCUUCGCUGGGCGUGCCGGGGAACCAGGACGUUUACUUUGAAAAAAUUAGAGUGUUCAAAGCAGGCUUAUGCUCGGAUACAUUAGCAUGGAAUAAUGGAAUAGGACGUGCGGUUCUAUUUUGUUGGUUUCUAGGACCGCCGUAAUGAUCAAUAGGGACAGUCGGGGGCAUCAGUAUUCAGUUGUCAGAGGUGAAAUUCUUGGAUUUACUGAAGACUAACUACUGCGAAAGCAUUUGCCAAGGAUGUUUUCAUUAAUCAGGAACGAAAGUUAGGGGAUCGAAGACGAUCAGAUACCGUCGUAGUCUUAACCAUAAACUAUGCCGACUAGGGAUCGGACGGUGUUAUUUUUUGACCCGUUCGGCACCUUACACGAAAGUACAAGUUUCUGGGUUCUGGGGGGAGUAUGGUCGCA